rnacentral:rRNA from 1 species
UCCUACGGGGGGCAGCAGUGAGGAAUAUUGGUCAAUGGGCGGGAGCCUGAACCAGCCAAGUCGCGUGAGGGAAGACGGUCCUAUGGAUUGUAAACCUCUUUUGUCGGGGAGCAAAGAGGACGCGUGUGGUCAAAAGCGAGAGUACCCGAAGAAAAAGCAUCGGCUAACUCCGUGCCAGCAGCCGCGGUAAUACGGAGGAUGCGAGCGUUAUCCGGAUUUAUUGGGUUUAAAGGGUGCGUAGGCGGGACGGUAAGUCAGCGGUAAAAAUGCGGAGCUCAACUCCGUCGCGCCGUUGAAACUGCCGG